GAUGAACGCUGGCGGCGUGCCUAAUACAUGCAAGUCGAGCGAACAGACGAGGAGCUUGCUCCUCUGACGUUAGCGGCGGACGGGUGAGUAACACGUGGAUAACCUACCUAUAAGACUGGGAUAACUUCGGGAAACCGGAGCUAAUACCGGAUAAUAUAUUGAACCGCAUGGUUCAAUAGUGAAAGACGGUUUUGCUGUCACUUAUUGAUGGAUCCGCGCCGCAUUAGCUAGUUGGUAAGGUAACGGCUUACCAAGGCAACGAUGCGUAGCCGACCUGAGAGGGUGAUCGGCCACACUGGAACUGAGACACGGUCCAGACUCCUACGGGAGGCAGCAGUAGGGAAUCUUCCGCAAUGGGCGAAAGACUGACGGAGCAACGCCGCGUGAGUGAUGAAGGUCUUCGGAUCGUAAAACUCUGUUAUUAGGGAAGAACAAAUGUGUAAGUAACUAUGCACGUCUUGACGGUACCUAAUCAGAAAGCCACGGCUAACUACGUG
rnacentral:rRNA from 1 species